AGAAAAUGGAGGAAGAAGCUCCUCAUCAAUGGCUGAACCUAGCACUGAUCUCUCUCUCCCUCCUCUUCCUCCUCUACAGAUUCUUCCUCCACAAAAGCACGAAUCCCAACCACCGCCUGCCACCGAGCCCUCCUUCCCUCCCUAUCAUCGGCCACCUCCACCUGGUCAAGGAGCCCCUCCACCGAACCCUACACGAUCUCUCGCUCCAGAGCGGCCCAGUCUUCUUCCUCAGGUUCGGCUCGCGCAAAAUCGUAGUCGUCUCCUCGCUGCCGGCCGUCGAGGAGUUUUUUACUGAGAAGGAUGUCACCUUCGCCAACCGGCCCCGCUUGCUAUCGGGGAAGCUCCUCGGCUACGACUACAGCGUCUUGGGCCUAAUGCCUUACGGUGACUACUGGCGCAACAUCCGCCGCUUCACAGCUGUGGAGAUGUUCUCCGCGAGGCCCCUCGCUGAUUACUCCGCUGUCCGGCAGGAGGAGGUUCUUUCCCUGGUGAGGCAACUGUUUCGAGAUCACUGCUGUCUCAGAGACCGGAGUAAGUAUUGCUUAGACACAAUUUACCUGGCGGCUGCAUAUGAAGAAUCUACCUCUAUCCAAAAAAGGCACAAGUUAUCUUGCAGUUUGAUUGUGUCUACCAUACACCUCACGAAGAGAAGUUAUAUCUGUUUAUUUUUUCUUUUCUUCCUGCAGAAGAUAGGGAAUGGCUGAAGGUGGAUAUGCGGUGGAGGUUGUUAGAUCUUACCCUGAAUGUGAUGAUGCGUAUGAUCGCCGGAAAGAGCUACUUCGGGACGGACCAGGUGUCGGAGGAAGGGAGGGAGUUCAGGGAGAUCAUGAGAGAGUUCUCGCAGCUUUUCGGAAACGCUGGGUACAUCGGGGAUUUCAUCCCAGCGUUGGGGUGGGCUGAUUUUCACGGGGUGAAGAAGAAGAUGAAGAGCGUGAUGAGGAAGGCGGACGUGUUUUUCCAGCAGCUGGUCGACGAGCAAAGCGGGAAAAGGAACAAGCGGUCGUCCGCGGCGGCGGUGGCGGCCGCGUCAGUGUCAUCAAAAGGGGUCGACGGGACGAGACCAUCGAGGACGACAUUCAUCGAUCGGAUGUUGGACGUCCAAGAACAGGAUCCGGAAUUCUACACCAAUACAACAGUCAAAAGCCUCGUUCUGGUGAGCACCGUCACUCUCUAUUUACCAUAUUUAAUUUACCGGCAAGUUAGGGACGGAGCAACCUUUUUUACCAACCUUUUAAAAAUUUAAAUUGUUAGAAUUUUUUUAUUAUUAUCGGAAAGUAUAUUUUCAAACUCAGAAUCUCGUGUCCUACAAUCUAAUAUACUAAACUAUUCAUAAAAUUUUAAAUCAUUAAUUGUUAUUUGAUUAAGUGGCAUGUUACUUCGCAUUUCCUCGCCUGUCCAAAUCUGUCGCGAGGCGGGUCAUGGAAAUGCAAUUUUUCCAUGAUCAUUACCAAACUAGAUGAAGACAACUUCAAAAUAAAAUAAAAAAAUCUUUGCAUUUCCUCGUUCGUUCAUUUUAAAUGACUAAUCGAUUAACGCUUUCGCCUGAGACAAAUUUUACAAGUUAAAGAAUUUUUUGGGGGGCAAGAAAAAGAUGAUCAUGUAAGAAAGCCGAUCACUUAGCGCCCACCUUGGUUGAAUUUCGGUAGCUAAUGCCAAUAUUUUCCACGCAAGGAAAAGAUUAAGGUGCAAGUGGGAGGGACUAAUGCGUCGACGAUGCAUUAAAAAAAUGGUAAAAGUCACUAUCAUGAUGAUGAUAUUGUUUGAUCAAAUAUAGUAUUUUCUCACAAUCUUAUUAUAAUCAUUGAAAUUAUUUGACUAGCAAGAUGAUCAUGUGACGUAGCUUAUCCUUUAAAAUUUCGUUCACCUCGUGAAAAAUAUGAUGUUCCUAAAAAAUAUUUUCCACGAAGUCAUUUUUUGAGAACAAUGAUAAUAUCUUUUAGUGCGUGGUUGGAACUUGAAAAUGAAUUGGAAAAUAUUUUAUGCCGUUCGGUGUGGAAAAUUCAAGUUGAUUUUCGUCUAUGGACUCAUUUUAAUAAAUUUUUAUUUUCUUAUUUAUUUUUUUUAAAUCAAAAUUUUAAACUUUUUAUUUUCUUUCUACUUUUUUCUUUUUAUUUAUUUUAUUUUUUCUUCCCCCCUCAUUCUUCUUUGCCGGUAGCUAGCGAUUGGCCAAGAAAGAAGAAAAGCAAAAAUAAAAAAUAAAAAAUAAAAAAUAAAUUUAAAAAAAUAAAAAAAUAAAAAAUAGAGAAGUGGGGCUACUAGAGUCUGGGAUAAGAAAGAGUGAGUGAGGAAAAUGUUUUCUCUAAUUUGAAAAAGGGAACUAUAUAUAUUUUUAUUUUGAAAGACCUUUUUCUCUUCAUGAAAAAUGUUUUUCUUAAUUAAUUUAUUUUCUGUGUAAUGCACGCUGAAAAAUCUGGAAAUAUGUUUUUCUGAAAGGGUUUUUUUGUUGAAAAGAGCAGAACCUAAGAAUGCAAUGGCAGCCUCCAUCAACUGGUCGCCCAGCGGAAGAAAAUAUCGUUUGGGUCAAACACUUGUGCUAUAUAGUCAAGAGGGUCAACAUCCGACAUAUAUCAAACCUCAGAAAAGAAGAAAGGGCUACCAGCAGUUCUUACAUUCUUAUGUUAUCAAGGAUAGAGAACUAAAAUUAGCCAUUCAACUGUGUGGCUUAAGUCCAAGAUAGGAAUUUAAGUUGAGUGGUGCAUGACAUUUGGUUAGAUGUAUUUUCUCGUGCACAAUGCCAUAUGUACUAAUACCGGUAUAAGGAGCUUGUUUACUAAGUGAUGUGUUAAACUUUAAGUAAAACUUAAAAAAAGGAUUAUAUUUAAUAACUAAUAUCAAUCUGAUACACUAUUCAGUAAACUAGUUUUGUUAUGAAUUUAUAUAACAUAUUAUCAAUGUGAAUUUUUUUUUAUAUAGAUAAAUAAGACUCUAAACUCUUAAUUGAAUGAGUUCAUUUGCACUUAUUAAAGUAUUUGAAUAUUUAAUGAUUUUUAUUUUGCUGUCAGUGUAUCAGAUGAAAGUAUUUUUAGUAAAGCUAGCAGUUCUUUUUCUAUAACAUGAAGACCCACUUUAGGUAAAUUAGCCCUGUGAAUUGUGCAGGCAAUGCUGGUUGCUGGAGCCGACACCACGGCCACCACGAUAGAAUGGGCAAUGAUACUUCUCCUCAACCACUCCGAAGCAAUGCGAAGGGCUUGCGACGAAAUAGAAUCCAAAGUUGGACAUGACCGCCUCCUUGAAGAAUCCGACCUCGCUAAUCUCAGCUAUCUUCAGAACGUCGUUAGCGAGACGAUGAGGUUGUAUCCGUCAGCUCCUCUUCUUCUACCACAUGAAUCCUCGGAAGACACCACCAUCGGUAACUUCCACGUUCCGCGAGGUACGAUGCUGCUGGUAAACGCGUGGAGCCUUCACCGGGACCCCAAGCUAUGGAAGGAUGCCGAGAGUUUCAUGCCGGAUAGAUUUGACGGCGGCCAAGAGAGUAAUGAAGGGUUCAAAAUGAUUCCUUUUGGUGCGGGAAGGCGAGUAUGUCCUGGGGCUGCUCUUGGGAAGAGAGUGGUGGGGUUAGCGUUAGGAGCAUUGCUCCAGUGCUUUGAGUGGCGGAGAGUCGGCUUGGAGGAGAUCGACAUGACGGAGGGCAACGGCCUCACUGCACCGCCGGCGGAGCCUUUGCAGGCCUUGUGCAAGCCGCGUGAAAUCAUCACGCCCUUCCUGGCCAGUGGAGAUGAUCACAUUAAAUAAGAAACGAUGAAGAAAUGCUAGCUAGAGACGCACAGUACGCGUAAGGUUAGGAAGCAACAUGGAACAAUAUGAAGUGGAGUAAUCUUUCUGGAUGUUUUUAUUUUACACUAGCCCUAUGAAAAUAAGUUAAGACUACAUUUGAUUUAGCUUUUCCAAGGAGUUUUGAGCUCCAAAACCCAUUCGAUAAAAAUUGUGAUAUUUGGCAAAUUAUUUUGAAAAUCACGUUGGAAAAAAAUUAACCUUGACAACGCUGAAAACCCAAAGCAAAUUGGGACGUGCUUUCGACUUUCGGUAUUUUUGGAAGGUAAGUUUUUCAAUUAAUGAAGUUAGAUUUUUUUACCCUGAAAAAACUCACUAGAGACAGCCAUUAGGGGCUGUGUUCAAAAGUGCGUGAAUGCAUGAUUGCUAAUAUUCUUGCACAACUUUGAGAAGUUUUUUCUCUACUUGACUUGUUUUGGUUGGUCCAUGUUCACGAGCGAUCAAUCUAAUUAAACCAUAACUUAAUUGGGGAAUGCUAUGCAUGUUAGGAACGGUUAACAACCCUACAUAAUCUUUUCGGUAUCAUGUAUUUCAAUUUAGUUUCAACAUGCAUUUGUCAACUACUUUUCUAAAAAUAUGAGAUGCAAUUAUAAUUUUUGGUGACAUAAUCAAGUGAAAGGUUCACAUCAAGUCGCGCCUUGGGAUGAUUGCUUUUCAUGUAUGUUUUGAAAAAUGGAUGUGCGUAAAAAGUAUGACAUGGCAUAUAAUGCCCACAUCAUAUGAUGACGUGGCGUGUAAAGACAUGUUGUGGUAACAAUGAUGAAUCACGUGGCAAGCGAAUGUAUAAAUGGAUAUUUGUUGAGAUGACAUGGGUGACCGGAUCACUAUUUUGAGUCGACUUAUUUGGGCAUGUAUAUUGUCUCAAAAGAUGCACGUGACCGCUUCAUAGCAACUCUCUCUUAUAGCCGGUUUUGAAAAAUUAAACUUUUUCGCCGAAAUUUUUAUGAUGUUUCUGAUGAGUUUGUUAAAAAAUGCACCCGUUGCGCUUGUUAAUUAAUUAAAUAACAAAAUAUUUCGUCUUUCAAUUUGACGACAUCAAUGGGCAAGUUCAAAACGAGCUUGUGAAUCAAGCAUAUUUUGUUUCCUAAUCCCACCGUAACAAAAAAUCUAUGUAGAAAAUUGGGCCAAACCGGAUUGGGCAAAGUUUAAUAACUAAUAGGCUUUGAAAAAGCCCUCCCAAAAGGGCCUCUUUGGGCCUUUGUUACUUAGGCAUGCCGGUGGUGUGUAAAUUGUCCAAAAAACCCGAACCUAUUAUACUUUAUCCAAUUCAAUUUUAGAUAUUUUAAUUUCAUAAAUUAAGUCCUAAACAUUUUUGCGUUUUGUGUUGAGUUAAUCCGGCCAAUUUUAACUGGAAUUUUUUGACAUUGACGCUAAUAGUCCUAUGUGGCAAGGGCAGUGCUAAUGGGGAUAAUGUAUAUAAUUUAUUUUGUAAAUUGUUUCGUUUUUCUUAUAUUCAAUUUCCUUUUUUCCCCCAAUUGGCCAACCCUCGUCGGUAGAAUGAAAGACAAAGAAAGAAAUAAUAAAAAUAUGGUCCACAUUAGUGUUGAUUGUCCUUUGCGGCACUACUCAUGUCUACAUUAGUGAUUUUUGAUUAAAAUUGACAAGAUGAACUCAAUUGACAAAACGUGAAAAUAGUUAUGAUUCAAUUGGCACAAUUGGAAGGUCUAAAACUGAAUCGAUCAAAUUGCAAUAUAUUCAUGAUUUUUCGGACAAUUCUUUCUACCAGUGGCCAUUAGACUCAUAAUCAAGUCCAUCCUCAAUUUUCCAACCUCAAAUAUGAUUUAAUCAUUGUACGAUCUCCUGGAUAAAUAACAUAGGGUUGGGUCUAGUCUAAUUAAGGCUUUCCUUUUGGACAUAGAAUCAAAUUAUCUAUUUAUAGCUGGAUAACAUCAAUAUUAUUUAAGAAAAGUCUAUUUUUAUUUCAACGACAUAACAACGUGUUUUAAAUCAAAGGUGCCCUAAUUUCCAAAAGACGACACAUUACUUUAGGCUAGACAAUUUUGCUAGAAUAUUGUCCGGUGAGGGAGGUUGGGUGGGAUUUUCCAUCGAAAUUCACCAUUAUUUAGGUGUUGGGACCCAAAAUGGAACCAGGAUUGUGUCCAGUGGGAUUUUUGGCCAUCUCAUGCCGAACAGCAGGGCUUGAGUGCCCGGCCUUACAUCUUCAGCACGUAACCCACGGACGGUGGUUUAUGACAUCGAACUCGAACACGACAACAUGUCGUGACGUCAUAAAACAAUAUCAUUAUAUGCUGUGAUAUUUUCGGGCUUAAUUACCACCGCACGUUCCUGUAAUUGUACGGUUACAAACGAGACUUGGAUAAACAAGUGUGCAGACUCCCAGGCUGGAGUGCCUCUGAAAUUGGUAUCCGAUGCUGGGAAGGAUAAGCAAUGACUAUUUCCAUUUGGUUUCUUCCACAAUCAAAAAGGCCACAAGGUGAAGAGCACCAUGAUCUUCGACCUUGUCGUUUUUGCCUUCUUGUAUGAUGAAUUGCCAAUGUUCGGCCCAUCAAUCUUCACGUUUUGAAAGGUGUGCGAAGGACGGAACUGUUCGUGUCCGUUCAUAAGUGUGAACUCAUCCUUUGGACAACUGAUGGUUGAAAUAUAAAGAAAAACGAUUAGAUGAUAGUUUAUAAUUUAUUAUAAGAAUAAUAAUCUGUUUUAAAUAAUAAAAAAUCAAAUAGUAGAUAACUAUAAAUUUUGGAAAAAUUUCAAAUAAGAACCCAAAGUGCUAUCAUUUUCUCAAAAGAGGACCUGAAGUGAAAUUUAUCUCAAAUAAGGACCCAAAGUGCCUUCAUUUUCUCAAAAGAGGACCUGGAGUGGAGUCUGUCUCAAAUAAGAACCCAAAGUGAUUAUUUAGUCUUAAAGAAGGAUCUCAUUUGCCGGCCGGUGAAUAGAUACAUCUCCGAUGCAUAUUCCGGUAGCUUGGUUAGGGGUAUUUUUGUCAAAUUUUUUUUUUUAAAUUUUCGAUUGUCUUGUUCUUUAUUAUUGUUAUUAUUAUUAUUAUUAUUAUUAUUAUUAUUAUUAUUAUUAUAGGUCAAUGGUGGCACUAUUCAUCAUCUUCUUCGUCUCAUGUUCGUCUUUUUCUAAAGAACAUCAGACUUAGGAAGGGAUGGCGAGCAUUGGCUGUUGGUGAGGGCCCGGCGAGGGUUGGACGCCCAUCGCCGGCAGUAGGCAAGGGCCACUAAGCCCUCGCCGGCAGUGGGUGAGGGUUUGCAGGCCAACCCUAGCCAGAUUUGGGGAGGGUGGCCUUGGCUACGGCUGGCGAGGGUUGUUGAGCCCUUGCUGGUUGUGGGCGAGGGCUUGCAGGCCCUCGCCGGCCCUUAUCGGUGGCCGGUGAGGUGGGCGAGCCCUCGCCCAAGGACGGCAAGGGGCGACCUCGCUGAUGGCCGUGAGGGGCGACCUCCCCCACCUUCGUUUACUGCUCCACCGAUAACCUCGUCUUCUGCUAGAACUACGACUAGGACGCCCGCAUCGCUUUCUUUAUCCCUUCCUCCCACCAUUGCUCCCAGUUCGACGACUUCUUCAGCUACCCCUUUUGCCCUCAAGGACCUUCUUGUAGGGCCUUGAUUUGGAUGACCCCCCUCCCCCAUGGCCAGCGAGGGCUCGAUGGCCCUCGCUUGUUGUCAGCGAUGGGCGUCAAGCCCUCGCUCGCUGGCCUUUCCUCAAGUCUGGUGUUCUUGAUUUGGGCAAGAAAAAGUGAAUAGGUUAUGAAGAAGAUGAUGAACAGGGCAACCGAAAAUGAAAAAAGAAGAAGAUGAAAAUACCAAAAUCAGGCCACCAGAAUAUACAUUAGAAAUGCAUCUAUUCACCGGCUGACGAGUGAGAUCCUUCUUUGAAACUAAAUGACUACUUUGGGUCAUUCUUUGAGACAAACUUCACUUUAGGUCCUCUUUUGAGAAAAUGAUGGCACUUUGAGUUCUUAUUUGAGACAAACUUCACUUCAGAUCUUAUUUUGAGAAAAUGAUGACACUUUGGGUCCUUAUUUGAAAUUUUCCCAUAAAUUUUUAUGGGUCACUUCUUUAAAAAAUUGUGAUUCACAACAAACUCCAAACAUAAUAUGAUUGAUUUUUUUUGUCAAACAUAAAUAUGAUUGAUUGUACAGUUCCUUUUUUCUCAAGAAAAAAAUAAUUUAAAAAAUAUUUUUUGAAAAUGAUUAUUUGAAUUGCUCGAAAUAAAUUCAUCCAUAAUAAAUGUUUUCAUUAUCAAUGACAAUUUAUGUUGCGAAUGAUGAUAAUAUUUUUCGUCAUUCAUUUUUGUAAGUGAUUCAAGUGAUCAUUUUUUUUUUUUGGAAAAUAAUUUUCAAAUCAAUCAAGAUUUGCGAAACAAAUGCACCAUAUGUUUACAUCUAAUUGAGAAAAAUGCAUUUGAACUCUUGCAACUUCUAUUCGAGUCGUAAUGUUAUUUUGAAUUUCUUUAUCAUGCUAUUAAAUUUUAUAGAAUUAACAUAGUUAAUGAAAUAUCCUUAUCGUAAUAUUUAACUAUUGAAUACCCUGGACAUGAUAGUCUUUUGAGUAAACAUGUCUACAUGAAGUUCACAUAUAGAUUUUAUUGACACUAACUUAUUAAAGAAAACAGGCAUAUGGGUUAAAUUUCAUGUCUAAUAGGUUUGACACAAACAAGGUGCGAUGACUAAUGUCAUGUCUUGAAGGUUGUCAUGAAAUUGAUUGGAACUUGAUUAGUUUAAUUUGACUUCGCUAAUUUCAUGUCGUGUUUGAGUUGUAUUAUCACGUCCUAUCAAAAAUUGCUAACCCUAAUAAAGCAAUCUUGCACUCCAUGCAUCUCCACAUAUUGAUCGAUGCACCCUUCCGGCACCCUCUCCAGCUCCGCCGUAAGGAAGUAGCUCACGACGAAUCUGCCCCCGCCGUUCACCAUCGCGUACGAGUAAAUCAGCUUUCUGGAAGUGUAUCUUUAUGGUUAAUACAUAGCUCCAUGCUUGUCGUCUAUAGUGGACAGUUCAUAAAAAAUUGACGAAAACCAACGCAUGCACCUCCGCGCAAAUCACGGAAGAUAAACGACCCUCCUUCAUGUUCAUAUCAUCUUGCCUCAUCAGUCGCGCACUUUUCCUUAACUAUAAUUUAUUCUUUAAAUGGUUUUAAAUUGAUGCGUUCCUCGUCGCCUAGUAGUAUACAAGAACUUCAACUCAACAGACAGUUCAAUCGACACUUUUCCACUGAGAAAAUGGAGGAAGAAGCUCCUCAUCAAUGGCUGAACCUAGCACUGAUCUCUCUCUCCCUCCUCUUCCUCCUCUACAGAUUCUUCCUCCACAAAAGCACGAAUCCCAACCACCGCCUGCCACCGAGCCCUCCUUCCCUCCCUAUCAUCGGCCACCUCCACCUGGUCAAGGAGCCCCUCCACCGAACCCUACAUGAUCUCUCGCUCCAGCACGGCCCAGUCUUCUUCCUCAGGUUUGGCUCGCGCAAAACCGU
rnacentral:lncRNA from 1 species